rnacentral:rRNA from 1 species
CGGCGUGCCUAACACAUGCAAGUCGUACGAGAAAGCCGGCUUCGGCUGGUGAGUAAAGUGGCGCACGGGUGAGUAACGCGUGGAUAAUCUGCCCUUAAGUGUGGAAUAACGUACCGAAAGGUGCGCUAAUACCGCAUAAUGCCUGGCAACACAAGUUGUCCGGCCAAAGAAGGCCUCUGUUUACAAGCUUUCGCUUCAGGAUGAGUCCGCGUACCAUUAGCUUGUUGGUGGGGUAAUGGCCUACCAAGGCUGCGAUGGUUAGCUGGUCUGAGAGGAUGAUCAGCCACACUGGAACUGAGACACGGUCCAGACUCCUACGGGAGGCAGCAGUGAGGAAUAUUGCGCAAUGGGGGCAACCCUGACGCAGCAACGCCGCGUGAGUGAGGAAGGUUUUCGGACUGUAAAGCUCUGUCGAGCGGGAAGAAGUGUACCAUGGCUAAUAUCCAUGAUAUUUGACGGUACCGCUAGAGGAAGCACCGGCUAACUCCGUG